UAGCUUGUUCUAGAAUGAAUCGUUGUUCUUAUAAUCAGAAUUUUUUAAAAACGAAUAAAGUAAUGAUAGCUGAGUUCAUUAAGGAUGCAAGUGAAAGUAGUUUCUGUUUUGUUUUUUUUUGUUUGUUUGUUUUGGUUUUACUUGG